rnacentral:tRNA from 1 species
UCCCUGGUGGUCCAGUGGUUAGGACUCUGAGCUUUCACUGCUGAGUAUGCUGGUUCAAUCCCUGGCCAGGGAA